UCAGUGGUCAGUGGAAACUUGAUGAUAGCAUGGUGGUCAAGCUUGUUUCUCCGGGGGGGGUGCUCGUCCCAGGAUAUCUGGGCUGCAGUCGCAGUGUCUUGGGACGCUGGAAGAUAUUAUUUCCCACUGAUGCUUUCCUGAAAGCUCCUGCAAUCACCUACAGGUCAGAAUGCUUGUCUCCAACACAGGACUCCCUCUGAGAGUCACCCGUCUGGUCACCGAGAGAAAUGCGUAUCUGAGUGCCUCAUCGGGAGAGGGUAACUGGCAACUCAAAAGAAUGAAACCAUUUGUCUCUUACCUACCUAUGACCUGGAAGCUCCCUAUCUGGCCUUCUCUUCAAGUUGUCUCAUCUUUCUGGACUGAAACAAGAUCUCCCUGCUGAAGCGAACUCAAAUCUUACCAUGUGUUAUGACACGCUGUGAUGAUGAGCAACCAAAGCCUCGAGGAAGAGAUGCUUUUGUAAAACAAGACUUGCAGAAUAUAAUGUGUGAAGUAAAGCCCAUGGCAGAGCUCCCUUUAGCACCCGGGGAGCAGACAGGAAGCUUUUGCCUCACCUUCCUCACUGGCCUGCAGCCACAUCUCCCCAGG